ACGGUAACAGGAGAAAGCUUGCUUUCUUGCUGACGAGUGGCGGACGGGUGAGUAAUGCUUGGGAAUCUGGCUUAUGGAGGGGGAUAACGACGGGAAACUGUCGCUAAUACCGCGUAGUGUCGAGAGACGAAAGUGCGGGACUGAGAGGCCGCAUGCCAUAGGAUGAGCCCAAGUGGGAUUAGGUAGUUGGUGGGGUAAAGGCCUACCAAGCCUGCGAUCUCUAGCUGGUCUGAGAGGAUGACCAGCCACACUGGAACUGAGACACGGUCCAGACUCCUACGGGAGGCAGCAGUGGGGAAUAUUGCGCAAUGGGGGGAACCCUGACGCAGCCAUGCCGCGUGAAUGAAGAAGGCCUUCGGGUUGUAAAGUUCUUUCGGUAUUGAGGAAGGUUGAUGUGUUAAUAGCACAUCAAAUUGACGUUAAAUACAGAAGAAGCACCGGCUAACUCCGUGCCAGCAGCCGCGGUAAUACGGAGGGUGCGAGCGUUAAUCGGAAUAACUGGGCGUAAAGGGCACGCAGGCGGUUAUUUAAGUGAGGUGUGAAAGCCCCGGGCUUAACCUGGGAAUUGCAUUUCAGACUGGGUAACUAGAGUACUUUAGGGAGGGGUAGAAUUCCACGUGUAGCGGUGAAAUGCGUAGAGAUGUGGAGGAAUACCGAAGGCGAAGGCAGCCCCUUGGGAAUGUACUGACGCUCAUGUGCGAAAGCGUGGGGAGCAAACAGGAUUAGAUACCCUGGUAGUCCACGCUGUAAACGCUGUCGAUUUGGGGGUUGGGGUUUAACUCUGGCGCCCGUA
rnacentral:rRNA from 1 species